AGUUCAGCUGGUUAGAAUGCCGCCCUGUCACGGCGGAGGUCGCGGGUUCGAGUCCCGUC
rnacentral:tRNA from 1 species